rnacentral:rRNA from 1 species
UUGACCUCAAUCAGUAGG